AUUGAACGCUGGCGGCAUGCUUUACACAUGCAAGUCGAACGGUAACAGGGAGCUUGCUCCGCUGACGAGUGGCGAACGGGUGAGUAAUGCGUCGGAACGUGCCGAGUAGUGGGGGAUAACGCAUCGAAAGGUGUGCUAAUACCGCAUACGUGCUGAGAUAGAAAGUGGGGGACCUUCGGGCCUCACGCUAUUCGAGCGGCCGACGUCUGAUUAGCUAGUUGGUGAGGUAAAGGCUCACCAAGGCGACGAUCAGUAGCGGGUCUGAGAGGAUGAUCCGCCACACUGGGACUGAGACACGGCCCAGACUCCUACGGGAGGCAGCAGUGGGGAAUUUUGGACAAUGGGCGCAAGCCUGAUCCAGCCAUGCCGCGUGUCUGAAGAAGGCCUUCGGGUUGUAAAGGACUUUUGUCCGGGAGCAAAUGCCUGGUGUUAAUAGCAUCGGGAGCUGAGAGUACCGGAAGAAUAAGCACCGGCUAACUACGUGCCAGCAGCCGCAGUAAGAC
rnacentral:rRNA from 1 species